rnacentral:rRNA from 1 species
UUAAGUAAUUAGUGGCAAACGGGUGAGUAAUAUAUAGGAAUCUACCUAACAGUAUGGAAUAACUCUGGGAAACCAGAGCUAAUACCAUAUAUUACCAAUUUAUUGGGAAAGAUUUAUCGCUGUUAGAUGAGCCUGUACCGGAUUAGCUUGUUGGUGGGGUAAUGGCCUACCAAGGCGAUGAUCCGUAGCUGGUCUGAGAGGAUGAUCAGCCACACUGGGACUGCGACACGGCCCAGACUUC